GACCGCCGCUCACCCGCACGCAGAGCCCGUCACCCGUCGCUUGCUGGACGCUUGGACAACCGUAGAGACGACAGAGCCCGUCAGCCGCCGCUCGCCCGGACGCCCGAAGUCCCGGACCGCUCGCUGGACGCCCGGAUGGCAUCUUCAUCGACGCCAACGCCGAUGAACACUACUGACGAGCAAGGAAGGUGAGAACUGAGAAGUGAGAUCUGUUUAACAUGUUCUAUGCAACUAUAUCUAUGUGUCUGUGUGUGAAUUGUGAUGCUUUGCGGGAGACGAUACUCUAAACGUUUGCGCUACGCUGUUUAUUCACUAACCGACAUCCAACGCUUUUUAUUCAUUAACCUACGAAGGAAUGUUGACAAAGAUUUGCCACUGCCACCUCCAACGAUGGUUCCAACUUCGGCAACUGACAACCCUAUGUCCCGCCACUGCCCCCUAAUUCUAGCCAGUGUCGGUGCCACAGCUAAGAGCAAGAAGAAAAGCCACGUUGCGACUACAAGAGCCAAAGCGGCACAGGGUGAAGCACCGCCCACCAAAGGCGUCCUUCCGUUAAAAUCCCUAGGUUCUAUUGCGGGGGCUGAGAGUGGGAAUGAAACUGAGAGCAGCAUGCAACCCCAAUCUGUGAAUGAUUCAGAGCCAAUACAGAUUGAUGAUGAUGUUGAUGAAAUUGAAGAAGUGAUUGCAGAACCAAAGAGGAAGCUUACAUCUGUUGUUUGGAAUGAAUUCAAGAGGGUGAAGUUAAGUUCUAGUGAAAUCAAGGCACAAUGUUCUUAUUGUCAUAAGAAGCUUAAUGGGAAAAGUACUCAUGGAACAAAGCAUCUUCAUGAUCAUUUGAAGAUUUGUGUUUUGCGCAAGAUAAAGCUCACUAGCCAGAACAAGAUUAUGUCACAAUCAUCUUUGAGGUUUAGUUCACAAGAAGGGGGGAAAGUAUCCGUGGAGAGCUACACUUUUGAUCCUGAAGUUGCUAGAAAGGAGCUUGCUGCUAUGAUAGCAUUGCAUGAAUAUCCUUUAUGCAUCGUUGAGCAUAUUGGCUUUCGUCGAUUUGUGAGUGCAUGUCAGCCAUUAUUCAAGAUGGUUAGCGAGAAUACUAUUAGAAAGGACAUUAUGGAUGCAUAUACAGAAGAAAAGAAAAGAGUGUUGCAGUACAUGUGUGCAUGUAAGUCACGAGUUGCUAUCACUAGAGACAUGUGGACUUCUGACAACUAAAAAAGAGGUUACAUGGCUGUCACAGCCCAUUUCAUCGAUGAUUCUUGGAACUUGAGGAACAUUAUAAUGAGGUUCAUAUAUGUGCCUGCACCACAUACAGCUGAGAUUAUCUGUGAGGUUCUAUAUGAUGCUUUGGUUGAAUGGAAUAUUGAUGAGAAGACCUCCACCUUGACACUAGACAAUUGCACAACUAAUACUGCGGUAAUCUCUGACCUUACCAAGAAGAUUGGUCCAUCUAAACUUGUUUUAGAGGGGUCGUUGAUGCAUAUGCGUUGUGCUGCACACAUUCUAAAUUUGAUAGUGAAGGAUGGUUUAGAUGUGAUACAACCUGCAAUUAAAAAGAUUCGUGAUAGUGUAGCAUUCUGGACAGCCACACCUAAAAGAGUAGAGAAAUUUGAAGAGAUGGCUAAGUUUGUCAAAGUCUCUUUGGUACACAAGCUAGGAUUGCAAAACUAGGUGGAACUCUACAUACAAGAUGCUCUCUAUUGCUAUUCCAUAUGAGCCUAUUUUUAACUGUGCCACUCGUGUUGAAAAACUUUAUGACUGUGCACCAAAUAAGGAAGAGUGGGAUUUUGCGAGACAAGUGGUUGAUAGACUCAAGAUGUUUAAUGAGAUUACCAAGGUCUUCUCUGGAACAGAUUAUGUGACUGCAAAUAUUCAACUCCUUAAAAUUUGUGAGGCUAAUUAAGGUGAAAAUUACACAGUGGUCUGAAUGUGGAAAUCCUAUCAUAGAAGAGAUGUCAAAAAAUAUGAUAGAAAAAAUUGAAAAAUAUUGGAAGGAUAUUCAAGGACCAAUGGGAAUAGCAACUAUUUUAGAUCCUAGGUUUAAGGUUGAUUAUCUCCUUGGGUUCUUUGAGACUUUGAUAGGUCAAAAUAGUGAUCAGUGUGUGCUAAAAUUUGAUGAAGUAAAAGAGUCUUUAUGUGAUUUGAUGAAGUACUAUGAAAUGGAUGAGGGUGAAGAUACAACAGAGUCAUCAACUCCUCUACUUGACACUAGUUUGUUAUCAACAAUUAGUGCACAUGCUGCUAGUCGAAGGCCAGCGAUGACAAGAGUUAAAAUUGAGCUAGAUAGAUACUUGGAGGAUGAUUUGGUUCAAAUUUCAACUGAGAACUUCCAGAUCCUAGACUGGUGGAAGGUGGCUGGAACCCGUUAUCCUACACUUAGAAAGAUAGCACGUGACAUAUUGGCUAUUCCGAUCAGCACUGUUGCAUCAGAGUCAGCUUUUAACACUAGUUGGUGGAUUCUUAGUGAACAUCGCAGCAGGCUUACUCCUGAAAUUUUAGAGGCUUUAAUGUGUUCACAGGACUGGAUAAGAAACAAUUACAAAGAUGGUGCUGAGGUUAAUCAACCAAGUUUUUGGGACUGCUUGCAAGAGAUUCAAGAAGGUGUCGAGGUAAGUUGUCUUUCAUACUUCUUGUGAUGAUCUAAUUCCAGGCUGGUGGCUAGAGCAUCAGCAAGUAGCCGAGCCGAGCUCUAUAAUUGAUUACACCUCUCUUUAAUGUAUGGACUUAUAUUAUGACAUAUGAGAUUGUGAUGAUGAAGCCCGAAAGGACUUGGACGUCAAGCUAUCAGUUUGGGCGACAUGAAUCCUAUUACUUGAUGCUCGCUUGCUACUCUUGCUUUUGUAUUGUUGCUUAAAUGAUAAAACAUGUACUGAGAGAUAUUUCUGUUUACUGUUUGAUUAUAUUUGUGAUGUAUGGACAUGUGGCUACUAGAAGACAAUAUUUGUUUUGAGUAUGUUGAUGAAACUACAAAAUAUGCAUGCUAGAAUGAAUGUUGAAUUGUCUCUAAUGUCCAUAAUCUAUAUGCUGAAAUUCUGAAUUUUUGAAUAAUCGGGUCAGGUAUGGAUACCCAUGGGUAUUUAGUACCCGGUCGGGUAUGCGUAUGGGAGGUUUUUCGUACCCGAGGUCGGGUUCGGGUUCGGGGAUGGGGGCGGGUCUAUGUUCAUGGGUACGGGUCUAGGGAGUUAAUCCCCACUGGGGAAUUCCCCAUUGACAUCUCUAGUCCGGUGCCCCCAGAACAGGAAACAAGCUAAUCAGGGAUCUCAUAGCCAUUGCACUGUUCACUGUCUGGUGCACCCACAGACAGAAGGCAACCAGGGCCUUCCAAAUGGAGCUCCAAUGGCUUCUAGGUUCUUUAGGGCUAUAAAAGGGACCCCUAGGCGCAUGGAGCUCCACACCAAGCUUUCAUUGAACAUGCUACAACACCGAGCAUCGAAUUCACGCCUUUGCUUUAGUAGAUAGAGAUUUGGGCACGUGUUUUGAGCUGUAACACCGUUGUGCUGUCUUUGUGCUCUUCUCUCUUGACUUGUGUGCGUGAGUUGCUGCAAAUUUGUCUUGUGUAUUUGAUUCUACUUCCCUCCUUACUCUUGUGGUUUACUUGAGAUCAAUUGUGUAAGGGUGAGAGACUCCAACUUAUGGAGAUUCCUCACAAAGGGAAAACUUGAGAUACGGAAGAAAACUGUGGUACUCAAGUUUGAUCGUUCGAUCACUUGAGAGGGGUUGAGUGCAACCCUUGACUGAAGGAGGUAACCACAACGUGGAGUAGGCAUUGGCUGAACCACGGGAUAAAAUCACCAUGUCACUUGUGCAUCUUUUUAUUGUGAUCGUUUUCUUCCAUAGAGUUCUCAUAUAUUCACUUGCACUAUUGUUCCUAAGUUUAAUACAUAUCUUAAAGGAACAAUCAAGUGAAGAGUUCUCUUCUUCUCUCUACCUCUAUUCAUAUCAAUUUGGUUUUGACUCUACUAACAUUUAUUAUAAACCAAGUUUGUCUUGUUUAGAGUUAAUUUUUGUAGGAUCACCUAUUCACCCCCAUCUAGGUUCUCUCACUUCCACUGCAUAACGAUAUCAAGGUUCUUUGUCUAUAUUUCCUUGGUUUCUCACUGCUUCUUGCUUUCAUUUUCUAUUUUUCGUGAGGCACUAAAGUGAUUAUAUUAGAAGCAGGUUAAAAAGCUGAGCGCUUGGCAGUCUAUAACAUCUUCUGGUGGCCACAAGCUGGAAAAAGCAUAAACAAAUAGGGCCAUUGUUCACUCCCAUACACCGCCGCAACGCAUCUGAGUCAUUCUAGUGAGAUCUAAGGACGUCUUUGAGCUGUUCUAGUCAUUAUGUGAGAAGUUCUUAUGAUCUUCUUUCUUGCCUUGUGUGGCUGCGUUUUGCACUUGUGUGUACUCUCCUCUCACUUUUGCUGUCACUUUGAAGUUGUAACUCAUUCUUUUUUGUACGGUUGCAAGAGACUCCAACAUGUGUAGAUUCUUUGUGAGGGUAUUGAUUAUGAUAUAAGGAAGAUUGUGGCACUCAAGUUGAUUAUUGGAUCACUUAAGAAGGAUUGAGUGCAACCCCUAUCCGUUGGGACACCACAACGUGGAGUGGGCUAGCAUUUGAGGCCUGACUGAACCACUAGAAAAAUCGUUAUAUCUCUUGUGCAUUUUACUUUCUUGUGAUCAUUUCUUCCUCUAAGUUCUUGAUCACACUUGUAAUAUUGCUCUAACUCUAAUUCUGCAUCUAGUGAGCAAUCAAGUGCAAGAACUCCUCUCUCUCUUUCACUUGCCUGGAUCUUUAUUUGCAUGCAACAAAAUAAUCUAAGCAAAACCUGACCCUAACUCGUGUCUGCUGCUGAGUAUAUAUAGAGUUUUGGGCGUGGCUAACCCUAAGGACGUGUCCCAAAUGGACUCAACUCGGUACAAGGCCCAAUGAGCCCAUACGGUCGCGCAACACUAAAAUAGAUUGCAAUAUCAAACUUGUUUGGAAGAUUCCCGCUGACAUUGGUUGAAUUUGAAAGUGAGACAGGUGGCAUUGAAAAGGUUUAUUCGUUAGCUUUCCAUCCAUAUAUAGAACAUCAAAUCUGAGUACGUAUGUAUCCUAGGUUAUGCACAAAAACCGUGUUAUGCACAAAAACCGUGUUAUGCACCCUCGUAUGUACGAUUUGCUGGGAUAACUUUAGCCUAUGGCCACAUGAUCGUGUAUACACAGUAAAAUUUUGAGUAAAAUUCUGAGAUAGCCGGAGAUAGGCUCACAGGACGUUGAUUCUGGCCUAGAGAGGUGAUGUAUCUCUGAACUGCAGACGGGGCCCUGCUGCCACUGUGAUCUCGUGAGCUAACCUGUGUGACUGUGCGUUUCUUCCUUCCUCCUACCCUCCCGUCCUCACCUCAGACUAGCUCGGAGUCCUCCGUCGCCGAGCAAAGGUUCCACCAAAAGACCAAACCCCAAGUCCUCGCAGCAUUUGAUUCUCUGACCGAUUCAGGGACACCUUCCUCAGAGCAAUACUUACCAGCGUGGGCGUGGCUACCAACCGCAGAGUUUCCAUGAGCAGAUGCAAACCAGUCGGCGGCGAGAGCCCAGCAGCAGACGGACCUGACCCGCGGCGGCCGAUGUCGGAGACGCCGUGUUCCGUGCAGCCCGGGGUCGUCCCUCUCCUCGGGAAGCCAUACUUCACAUGCAUCCUCUGCAAGUCUCAUGUCAACCAGCCGUUCCAAGUGUGUAAUGAUCGAACAUUCGAAGUCCUUUGGUGCCUGGCUCUGGCUGCAUGCAGGUGGUCCCCAAGUCGCUGGCGCCGUUCCUCCCGGGGACGACGGUGCCGGCGACGGUGACGUGGCACGGGCGGUCCUGGGAGAUGCGGUUCACGGGGGGGCGGCAGAUCCAGCGCCUGGAGGCCGGGUGGCGGGGCUUCGCGCUGGACAACGGACUGAAGCUCGGCGACGGGUGCGUCUUCGAGCUGGUGGACGGCAGGGCGGAGCGCGUGGUGUUCAGGGUGCAGGUGCUCCGCGCCGACAUCCCCGCGGAGAUCCGGGAGCGGGCCGGCGGGUACACCUCGUCCAGCCCAAUCCUCAUCGACUAGCUAGCUCAUUGCUCACCUCAUCAGCUAGCAUGUAUCCCCCCGUGCGGCCGUCUGCCACUGUCACUGCGCCGGCCUGAAACUGAACUGAUUCAGCUACUGCAGAGUGAAGUGCAGCCUAGGCGUGUUCAACUGGAUUGUGGAGUGUGGACAUUUCUGAAACCUGAUGUUUAGUGAGAAACUCCUGUAUCUUGUCUUCAUCUUUGUUUGUUUCUUUCUU